rnacentral:rRNA from 1 species
UCAGAUUGAACGCUGGCGGCAGGCCUAACACAUGCAAGUCGAACGGUAACAGGAAACAGCUUGCUGUUUCGCUGACGAGUGGCGGACGGGUGAGUAAUGUCUGGGAAACUGCCUGAUGGAGGGGGAUAACUACUGGAAACGGUAGCUAAUACCGCAUAACGUCGCAAGACCAAAGAGGGGGACCUUAGGGCCUCUUGCCAUCGGAUGUGCCCAGAUGGGAUUAGCUAGUAGGUGGGGUAAAGACUCACCUAGGCGACGAUCCCUAGCUGGUCUGAGAGGAUGACCAGCCACACUGGAACUGAGACACGGUCCAGACUCCUACGGGAGGCAGCAGUGGGGAAUAUUGCACAAUGGGCGCAAGCCUGAUGCAGCCAUGCCGCGUGUAUGAAGAAGGCCUUCGGGUUGUAAAGUACUUUCAGCGGGGAGGAAGGGAGUAAAGUUAAUACCUUUGCUCAUUGACGUUACCCGCAGAAGAAGCACCGGCUAACUCCGUGCCAGCAGCCGCGGUAAUACGGAGGGUGCAAGCGUUAAUCGGAAUUACUGGGCGUAAAGCGCACGCAGGCGGUUUGUUAAGUCAGAUGUGAAAUCCCCGGGCUCAACCUGGGAACUGCAUCUGAUACUGGCAAGCUUGAGUCUCGUAGAGGGGGGUAGAAUUCCAGGUGUAGCGGUGAAAUGCGUAGAGAUCUGGAGGAAUACCGGUGGCGAAGGCGGCCCCCUGGACGAAGACUGACGCUCAGGUGCGAAAGCGUGGGGAGCAAACAGGAUUAGAUACCCUGGUAGUCCACGCCGUAAACGAUGUCGACUUGGAGGUUGUGCCCUUGAGGCGUGGCUUCCGGAGCUAACGCGUUAAGUCGACCGCCUGGGGAGUACGGCCGCAAGGUUAAAACUCAAAUGAAUUGACGGGGGCCCGCACAAGCGGUGGAGCAUGUGGUUUAAUUCGAUGCAACGCGAAGAACCUUACCUGGUCUUGACAUCCACGGAAGUUUUCAGAGAUGAGAAUGUGCCUUCGGGAACCGUGAGACAGGUGCUGCAUGGCUGUCGUCAGCUCGUGUUGUGAAAUGUUGGGUUAAGUCCCGCAACGAGCGCAACCCUUAUCCUUUGUUGCCAGCGGUCCGGCCGGGAACUCAAAGGAGACUGCCAGUGAUAAACUGGAGGAAGGUGGGGAUGACGUCAAGUCAUCAUGGCCCUUACGACCAGGGCUACACACGUGCUACAAUGGCGCAUACAAAGAGAAGCGACCUCGCGAGAGCAAGCGGACCUCAUAAAGUGCGUCGUAGUCCGGAUUGGAGUCUGCAACUCGACUCCAUGAAGUCGGAAUCGCUAGUAAUCGUGGAUCAGAAUGCCACGGUGAAUACGUUCCCGGGCCUUGUACACACCGCCCGUCACACCAUGGGAGUGGGUUGCAAAAGAAGUAGGUAGCUUAACCUUCGGGAGGGCGCUUACCACUUUGUGAUUCAAGACUG